rnacentral:siRNA from 1 species
UUCAAGGCUUCUUAGGACUUAUCU